UUUAUAUUUACAGAGAGUAAUUUUUCAAUUAGCACACAUUGGUUUAAUUCAUUGAACCCAUCGGCAGAGGUCGGGGGUGAUUUAUCCUCCUUUCUUUCAGGGCAUAUCUUUGCGUAUGCAAGAUACGUUGAAGAAGUUUAUGGUUUGGAGAAGGUAGAUAAGUCAAGCUGGGCCGAGUGCCAAGCACUCCAGGAGCCGAGAUUGAAGCAGAGCCUGCAGAAGGACACCAUUGUAGAGAAUCCACAGUGCCUGAUCAGAGUGUACCAGAUGAGCCUGGAUUUCUCCCCAAGCCAGCUUCUCCAGUUAUGCUUUGGAUGUUGAAAUGUGAGAUAAGGAACUACAGGUAAUACUAUCAUACUAAUAUUCAAAUUUAAGUUUUAUAAUUAUCAAUUAUAUGGCAGUAGUAGUGAUGGUUUUCCAGGUUUUUGUGUGUGUGUGUAACAUCAGAUCAAAUUCAUUAUCAGGUAUCUACCCUAUUCUGGAAACAAAAUCAAGGAUACAAAUUGAGAAAAAAAUUUUUUUCGUUGUUUGCUAAAUUCUUUGCUCUUAAAAAAAAAAAAAAAAACAACCCAGGAUCAUAGAGAUUAGCAACUCCAACUAAGUCUAGGUCAAGUUUAUUUUUUGUUUAAAGACUAUAGGCUGGCAGCACAUUGAUUUUUAAACUGUUUAUAAGAAAAUAAAAGAAGCUGGCCAUAGUGGUGGAUGCCUGUAAUCCCAGCACUCUGGGAGGCUGAGGCAGGAGGAUCACACAUUUGAUCCUAGCCUGGGGAAUUUAGUAACUUAGGGAGACUGUGUCUCAAAAUAAAAUAUAAAAAAGGUCUGUGGAUGCAGCUCCAUGCCCUGGGUUUAAUCCCAGUACAAAAAGAACAGUGAGAGAGAGUUAAAGUAUUCUGCAAAGCACCCAGGAGCUUGGUAAAGUUGCAUUCUACCUUUUGUUUUUGUGGUUUCCAAGUUCUUGCUGCUGUUAGAAGCUCUAAAUUUUGAAAAUUUCAUUCCCUUUCUCAGCAACCAUUUUUAUUUUUCUUUCCUUUAGCCAAAAUUCCAUUGAAAGUCUGUAAAUGUUCCAAAGCAAUGCUGUGGUGGGAGUAGAGCAAUUUAGACAACUGUAUUAAAGUGACUGUUUCAAGUUGGCUAACAUGAGCACUGAAUAAACACAUAUUGAUAUUAUAGAACAAAAUAAUAUAUUAGCACAUUGCUCAUUUGUGCUCUGAUGGUCACCCUGCUACUAUUUGUCAUAUGGGGAUGACAGACACAAUUACACCCGAGUGCUAAUAGAGUGGAAGGGCAAAACUGCCUGACCUCGGCAUCCGGGGUCGAUUUAAAUGUUUGAUGUCUCAUUGGAUUAGUAUCACAGUGUGAAAGACAAAGCUCAAACUAAUGGAAAUGAGCCUGGACAUGCAAUACUGCUGAUUGGGCUGACAUAAUUAGAAUAAUAUUCUGCGCAGAGCUAAUAACAAGCCAAAGAAAUAAAUAACCAAGAGAUAACCUAAUUGCUGCAUGCUAAAACGCAUUCUCAAAUAUGCUAAGGUUAGCAUUUUCUAUUUACUUAUAAAGCACACUGGUGGGCUUCAAAGAAAAAAGAGUAAGCAAGGCAGAAGAGAGGG
ensembl:lncRNA